GUGAAUCAUCGAAUUUUUGAACGCAAAUUGCACUCUCCGAUAUUCCAGAGAGGAUGCCUGUUUGAGGGUCAGUUGAAAUAAAAAUCGGUGUGGGGGCUGGCGUGCGUGGUGACGCAUCGGAGGUGGGUCGUCUUGCCUUCGGUUAAGUGACCGAAAAUGUUGGAGGGGUUGUUUCGAACGUAGUUAAAUGAUUGUACGUACGGUUGCGAGAUCGAAUACUAGGUGUGGGCAUCCUCAUGAUUCGGGCAGAUAAUUUUGCAGCA
rnacentral:misc_RNA from 1 species